GGCACAAACUUGAAGUAGAGUAGAUCAGUAUGGUCAGCCAAUCAUAUUGAUCUACUUUACGGCGAAUUUGGGCCC
rfam:Haemonchus contortus, ISE/inbred ISE, WGS project CAVP01000000 data, contig: Hcontortus_40745